CUGUCAAGAUGUGACUGCAUAGAUGCAUGACUGGAGAAGUGUGACAUCUGAAACAAAUAGCAGAGAAGAACACAAGUCACAAAAAUCCUGAGGAAGCAGUUAAGUCCAAAAGAUGAUCUGGGUUUCAUCCCUAAGCUACCUCUAACCCAGCCUUUGGGCGAGUCAGGUCUUUAACAGUACAUCUGUUAGCUAGGGUACUCUUGUUAUCAUUAGAAUCUCAGUUUUGUCUUACAGAGGCGAAUAGCGAUGCGUGUCCUCCACUGGAGCAACUGAGGGACAAGUCAUAUGGAACAAUUGUGUGCAAAGUCUAAAGUGCUUUAUGAAAUACGUAAAUCCUCUAAGGCCCCUGUGAAUUACACUUUGUCUUCUUUCAAGAUCCACCUGGAUGGGUGAGAUGCUUCACCACAGAGGAGUUCAUCAUCUGGACUGUUCAGCUCUUAAACACUUUCCUAUUGGAACUGAAGCCAAAGAAGAGGACAGUUAUUUUCUGUCUUUACUCGCUGACAGCAAGAUCUUGGACCAAACUUUGAGUGUAAUUAUCUUUGAGUGGAUUAUGACAAAUAAUGCAAAGAGAUAGGGAUAAACAGACAAGAUUCAUGGUGUGGUAUCUGAUUGUAGUAAGAUCAGGGUCUUUGUGGGUGCCACAGAUCUGGGCUGUGAUCGGACAUCUUAAUAACUUCUUUAUUUUUUUUUAAUUUUUAUUGAUCCUUUGUAAAUUUCACAUUAUGCUCUCCAAUCCCACUCAUCCCUCCAUAUCUACCCUCUGCCCUCGCAACUUCUCCCUCAAAGAAAACAAACAGACAAACAAAGAAUCUCACCGUGGAAGCUGCAGUGUGUCACUUUGUGUCACACAGUAUACCCUUUUGCCCAAACAGCUUUUCUUGCAAAUGCUCAUUGCAGUGCGUCAUUAGUCUGUUUGAGCCCUCUGGCUUCUGCUACAUUAUCAGUACUGGAUCCUCACUGGGACUCUUUUGGGUAUCCUGUUGUCCUCUGUUAUGGAGAUUCUGAAGCUUUGGUUCUGGAGGACCAGCCCCUUUAUGUGCUAUAGCAGUUCAUUAAUGAGGUAGAUGUUGGGGUAGGACUUGAUCUAGGCCUGGAUGGCUGCUGAGUUGGUCAGCCUGACACCUCUCCAAUGCUCACAUUAUUGGGACCAGCAAUCCAGCACUGACCAGAUGAGGUGCAGGGCCAGCUCUCUCAAGUGCUGCAGCUGGUGAGAAGCAGAGCCAGCUCUCUUGUUCUUACCUUUGGGGUCAGCUCCCAUAAUGCCCAGGCUCUUGAGCCUGGUUCUUCACUCAUCAGAUCCAUUCCUUGACCAUCCUAUGCACUUACUUCCUACUUGAUACUUAAGUCAAUCAGUGUUGAUUUCUAUUGUUUGAAACUACCAACCCUGAGUAGAACAAAAUAGGCUAGGAAUUCAAAUGUAGAGAUUUGAACUUUAUACUGUUAUAGCAUUGGUAGAAUUAUUAAAAAGUAAACUUGGAAACAAAUCAAUAUGGAAUCUUCGCUCUUAUUCUUACUAAGCCAUCAAAAGCCUGUUACCCAGCUGUGAAACUCACAUUAAGGCAAAAAAAAUAUAAAAAUAAAAAUAAAUAAAUCAACCCUUAUUUUAUAGUCCUUGAGCUUGGCCAAAAUUGAAACAUGAUGCUGCUUAGAAAAUGUUAUUUUCAAUGUGUCAAUUUGUCUCCUGGCUGUCUUCACUGUAUAUGGAACCCAUGAAAACGUUGACUCUAAGUCAAUGCCCAGAGCUAGUUCUUUACUUCUAUAAUGUGCCCCAGUCCUUUGUUUUAUCUUGCUCAUGCAAUGCAGUACUUAUGAGUGUCAUUGUCUAAAUCUCAGGAAAGUGUAUCUUUUUGUGUCAUCAACUUUUGUAUGAGCUGUAGUUAGUACAAAGUUUUCUAAUCUGGAAGUCAGUUUUAAUACUGUUAGGAGACACCAAGAGUCUACCAGGACUUUUGUGCCAUGGCUUCUGGGGUAGAAUGGAGACUUCCAUGAUUUAUUUCACAUUGUAAAACAAGAACAAGGAUAAGGUUUAAAAAACAGCAAUGGAUAAAAAGAAAUUCGAAGGAGGGGCAUUGGGAAUUAGCCUAGUGAUAUCAAAGAACAUUUAUCAAGCAUCUUGCUUCAGUCUCUAGAUAGCUGUGCAGGGACUGUUACUGAAAAUAUUCAGAGGGAAGGAUGCUGAAAGGCAUGUGAAAGUCUAUUAUAGGACUGGCAGUGCUGGGUGACAGUAUAUAUGCCUGUCAAUUAUUUGUCCUUGGAUUAAUCCUUUCAGCUUAGGGCCUUGGUAUAGUUUGAUAGAGACAUUCUUUUCUAGAUAAAUAUUUUCAUUCCUCACUGGAUCUUUGGAGAAUGUAAGUUGAAGUUCCAGAUAACACUGCUCUCUGCAAUAUAAAUGGUUCUGUGAGGACAACAAGGUACCUUAAAGGCAUUGAUUGUAGAUCCCAGACAUACCUGGCUUCCAAUCCCAGUGCC